rnacentral:rRNA from 1 species
AUUGAACGCUGGCGGCAUGCCUUACACAUGCAAGUCGAACGCGAAAGAGGGGCAACCCUUGAGUAGAGUGGCGAACGGGUGAGUAACGCAUCGGAACGUAUCCAGUAGUGGGGGAUAACCCAUCGAAAGAUGGGCUAAUACCGCAUACGCCCCGAGGAGGAAAGUGGGGGAUCCGCAAGGACCUCACGUUAUUGGAGCGGCCGAUGUCCGAUUAGCUAGUUGGCGGGGUAAGAGCCCACCAAGGCGACGAUCGGUAGCUGGUCUGAGAGGAUGAUCAGCAACACUGGGACUGGGACACGGCCCAGACUCCUACGGGAGGCAGCAGUGGGGAAUUUUGGACAAUGGGGGCAACCCUGAUCCAGCCAUGCCGCGUGAGUGAAGAAGGCCUUCGGGUUGUAAAGCUCUUUCGGCCGGAACGAAAUCGCAUCCUCUAAUACGGGGUGUGGAUGACGGUACCGGAAGAAGAAGCACCGGCUAACUACGUGCCAGCCGCCGCUGUAAUAC